CAUAUACUCUCCACAGGCAAAUUGGGAACAGAGAUGGGGCAAGGAACAUCAGAGCAGCAUGUCCGCGCGAGGUCCAGCCCUUCCUCCUCAGCUGACUUGUGAGGCUGAGUCUCAUGUUUGUUUGAAUCCACCUCACCAUCUACGGAGUGGAGGGAGGUGAGGUAACAUUCCAAGUAAAAGCAGGGGAGAACGACGAGGGUGGCAGAACCACAGUGGACAAGGCUUACUUGGAGCCGCUUCAGAUUGUGUUGGCAAUAAGCUCCAGUGCAGGCUGAUUUGUUUGGGAGAUUAGAGGGCAGGGAAUACUUCCAAACUUUUUCAGCAGUUGUCCAUAACAGUUUAGAUAAUCUUGCUGUUUAAACAGCUGCCAUGGUGAAUUCUAAAUAUUAAUGUUACGUCACACAGUCCUUGGCUAAAACAAGAAAGAGGGCUAACUUGACGUAAGCUAGCACGGCGGCUGGGAAACGUUCCUCUGAGGGAUGAAGGCACAAGCAUGAAGCUUCCUGGAGUCCCUGGAUUCAGCAGACAGGAGGGUGUGAAGCCAGACAAAGGAGACACAGGGAACUGGAGAGGACAGAAGUCUUCUCUUCUUCCUUGGAAAGACCUUCUAAGCAUGAGUGGAUACAGGGAGAUUUUAUAAAAAGAAAAUCAAUACCUGCCCUCUGAUUAAUUGUAAACAGCUUAAACAAAUACGCCUACAAUGACUGCAUCUCAAAGAGAAGGAUCUUGGAAAUCACUGCCCUUUCUAAAUCCCGAUACAUCUCCUCAAGAUACCAAAGCAGAAUUUCCCCUCCAAGGAUGCUCAUUGGGAUUCAUCACUUUGCCAGCACUUACUGUCCCUAAGGUGGGCAGGGACCCUCCAGGGCUGAGCACAUAACAAGAAACUGACACAAUGACAAGGAGAAUGUGAUGGAGAAGAAGCUGGGGAGGAACACAGAGGGCCUUUGAACAGUUACUGCUGCUACACAUAUCACUGUCCGCCAUGUCUGAACUACUCAACUUAUCCUAGGACCCUGGGUUCCUUCCCCUGGAUCUGUGGGGCCACGUGAGUGUGGAGUGCACCCACCUACUCAGGACCCCAAAAAGGAUGAGGAAACUGACUGGUCCUCAGCCUGUCCCUGGGCAAGUUAAGGCCAUGGUGGUCAGGUCCUGGGCAUGGUACCUUGGAAGCAGCCAUCACCGCCGCCGUGGCCGCCACGUUCAAGCCUCGCUUCCCAAAGUGCACAAGGGCAUCGUAACUUCGGUCUUUUGCUUGGACCAGGCAAUCAUCGAUUUCCUGUCAAAGGAAAAGAGAGGCAUGCUGAAUUGGAGGGCGCAAAUAAAUCUCCGUUUUCUCCCUCUUCAGAGUGCUGAGCUUGGUGGGUUCUCACUGACACUGCCAACUCACGGGCUGUCAGACCUGGGCCAGUACUUAGCCUCUACACACGGUUCUGUCUUCUGAAAAAUGAGGACAGUGGUAGCACCUAACUCGUGCAGCAUGGUGAGGGUUACAUGAGAUCAUUCCGCGAAAGCAACUGACACAGUGCUGGUUUCAAUAACCAAGCACCACUGUCAUCUUCCUUCUCUCAAGGAGGUCAAGCCCUGGCAGCUCUGAAAUGCUAUUAUUCCACAGCUAUAUCAUACUAUGUCCAAAUCCUUCCCCAUGUGUAUACUGAUGGGAGGGAUUUGGAAAGAGAUAGGUAUUAUUUUGCUUGAUAGAGAAGAUCAUUUUACAGAUAAUGAAAUAAAAGCAGAAAUUAGAAGUCAUCCAGCAUCGUACCAUAAGAUAAAGCUGAGGUGGGAAAGAGGGUGGAGGUCUACCUCAGGGACCAGGACCAUGUAAGAUGUUGGUUUAGUUCAAAUUUGGAUCAACGCUGGCUCAUUCUUUUUGUUUGGUUUGGGUUGUUGUCACUGUUUUAAGAAAAUAACUGUUUUGUAAUCACAGGAGCUCAUUGCAGAGUUCAGUCAGUGACACUUGGCCUCCAUUUCAUUUGAAGUCCAGCAUACUGGUGCAUUUCCUUCGCUUUGAGGCACGCAGGUGGACAGUCAACCCCCUGCUGGGUCCUUGUGUAAGCUUCCUCAGGAAGUCAAGCACUAAGUUUCCAUUGUGACCCCUGGCUGACUCCAGAAGUGAUUCCUGGCAGACUCUUAAACGUUCACUUCCAUGGGAAUUACAUGGGCAGCUUCAGGGUAAGUCCAGUAUUUGGAGAAAGGGAAGUAGGAAGAGUAGAGAUUUGACAACCAGGUCGAGACAGGCAUUACCCUUCCUCAAAAUCCACCCUCUGAGACAGGAAGUGUUGUGCCCUAGUUCCUAAACACAUUCUCAGAAAUGUCUAUAGUGGCCUGCUCAUCCAACUGAUAUACUCAAAGCCUUCCCCUGGAAGUCCAAAGUAUCCAACUUUCAGAAGUGACAGAAAUGAAUACAUCAAGCCACCAAAAGUGCUACUAAUUCAUGUUGUAGAAUUCUACCCACAAUCAGUUUAGAAAAGCAUGUAACAUCACGAAUGAAUUAUACAACGCUGGACCCAGUAAUUCCACUCUUGAGAAUUUAUUCUAAGAUAAGAAGCCAACAGAAGGAAGUAUAUACGAUGUGUGGUGACUGUCACGGCUUAUGAGGAAGACCAAUGGAAAAGGACAAUAUGCAACCAUGCUUAAGAUCUCAGAAGACCAAUAUUGUAUCUGUUCAGUUUUCUGAUUGUUGCUUUUUGGUUUGGGGUGGUUUGGGGUUUUUUUUUUAUGUACGCUUAAAAUUUUAUUUUAAAGAAACAUUACAUAGACUGGAUUGAAUUUUAAAAAGAGGCUACCAAACAAAUGAAUGACAGAGGUCAUGUUUAUUUUAGUGGUCUCUGCAUCUGUUAUUGUAGGAAAUGUUAAGAAAACCAUGGAACAAUCCAUUGAAAGCAAACCCGGCAAAUUAGGUUCAGUGGAGAUGUUAAACAAAAAAUCACUUUAUAGACAGUGACAUUACUUAUAAGCGGCUUAAAUUCAUUUCUCUUCAAGAGGUGUCAGUUGUAACUCCUCCUCGAAUCCUUAGUUACUGCUGACCCCUUCCUGCAAUCUCUCCCUAUCUUAUUUUUUCCAGCUCUGACAUUAGACAAAUCUACAUUUUUGUUUCAAGAAUGUAUGUGAAGUACUUUGAAGCAAAACAAACACAAGAGAUAAAUAGCAUUAUGACUACUCUCAUUAAUACUUACUGACUGAUAAUUACUAAAGUCGCAGGUAUUUCAUUGGUAGCACACAUUUUAUCAUUGAACAAUAAAGCAAACGUACUAGAAAGUUAUUAUAUUCCAGUCUCUGUUAGUAGCUAUCUGGGUACAUGUUCAAAUCAUUUACUCUCUCUAGACUUCAGCCUUCCUGUUUAUGUUAAGUUUUAAAAGUAUUUUAAUAGUCCAUAUAAAAAUCCUAUCUGCAAAAGGACAGGGGCUGAGCCUGAUAAAAGGAAGGAAAUUCAGUUUGGGGAGUUAAAUUAUGAGUGAAUCCUUUCUGCCUUUUUGUUUCAAUGUAUGGAAAUGUUUUACCAUAAUAAUGAUGAAUAACAUCCUUUUGAGAAUUUCACCGCUAUUCAUAAACAGGUCAGAAAAACAGACUUAAAAAAGAAAGAUUAAAGAGUUUGAAAAACAAAAAAACAAAAACAAAAAAAAAAGAUUAGAAGGAACAAAUGUUAGGGGGGAAAUAAAAGUCAAU